ACGGAAGGCAGCAGUGGGGAAUAUUGGGCAAUGGGCGAAAGCCUGACCCAGCAAUGCCGCGUGAAGGAAGAAGGUCUUCGGAUUGUAAACUUCUUUUAUGAGGGACGAAGGAUUUGACGGUACCUCAUGAAUAAGCCACGGCUAACUACGUGCCAGCAGCCGCGGUAAUACGUAGGUGGCAAGCGUUAUCCGGAUUUACUGGGUGUAAAGGGCGCGUAGGCGGGGAUGCAAGUCAGGUGUGAAAUCUAUGGGCUUAACCCAUAAACUGCAUUUGAAACUGUAUCUCUUGAGUGUCGGAGAGGUAGAUGGAAUUCCUAGUGUAGCGGUGAAAUGCGUAGAUAUUAGGAGGAACACCAGUGGCGAAGGCGAUCUACUGGACGAUAACUGACGCUGAGGCGCGAAAGCGUGGGGAGCAAACAGGAUUAGAUACCCUGGUA
rnacentral:rRNA from 1 species